UAUUGGAGAGAGGGCUUUUAGGAGGUAAUUAAAAAUAAAUUAGGUCCUAAGGGUGGGACCCUGACCCAAGAAGAUUGGUGGCCUUAUAAGUAGAGGAAAAGAGAGAGAUUUUUUUCUCACUCUCUGCCACAUGAGGGCAUAAGGAGAAGGCAGCUAUCUGCAAGCUAGGAAAAGAGCUCUUACCAGGAACAAAGUAGGCUUAUAUCUUCAUCUUAACUUCAAUUUCUCUAGAGCUUAAAGAAGUAAAUUCCUGUGGUUUCAGCCAUUCGUCCAUGCUCAGUAGUUGUAUACUUGUUACCUGGGAAUGUGUUAAUAGACUCAAGCAAUGAAAGCAUAUCUGGUGAAGUUCCUGCAAUUUGGAGUCACCACUUGGUUACGCUUGUGAUAGUCAACUGUCAUUCUCCAAGAUCCACGUGUUCUCUGUGCAGACCUAAAAAGGACUCAGCUGGACUCCACAAGUUCUUUCAUUUUAGAACUCAGGCUGAAGAAACAUCUGAUCUCUGGACAUAAUAUUGUUAUAAAAGAGAGCUCAAGAGGGGCAAGCAUAAGGUGAUGAACUUGGACUGCAUACAAAGCUCUUUUUAAAAGAUUCUGUUGUUGAAGGCUGUUUUUAUGGACAAUAUCAGAAUUGAUGAGGUGGGAAUAUCCAUUGUUUUUAAUCUGCUGGAAUGCAUCAGAGUCACAUAGCAAAGGGCAAGGACAUAUAAUACUAUUAUCAAUAUAUAAUAAGACUUGUAAAUAAUAAUCAAAUCUAUGACAAUGUCAUUAAAGAAAAGUGUUGCACUUAGAUCAAUAACAUCAUAACUAGGAAGCAAGUCUUUUCCAAUUCAUCCUGGCUUCUCUUUUGAAAAAAGUUUUUCACAUUAAUAUAUGGUGGAAGCAUGAACAUUAUGAUUAGCAUGGAUAAUUUUUCAUACACUCCAAAAUAAUUUUGCCUGGAUUAUAAAAUCUGAAUCAAAGGCACAUAAUAAAAUUAUUAUUAUAUUUUCAAUUUCUAUUGCAUUUAUAUUGUUUUGGGCUUCCUUACAUGCUUAAUUUGCAUGUUCUUAUUAAUUGGCCUAAGGGAUUACUUUUAUUAUCUCCAUUUUAAAGAAGAGAAACAGGAAACAUAAGUCUACCCAAGUAUGUUUGACUACAUAGGAAAUAACACAAUGAGAAAUCAAC